rnacentral:rRNA from 1 species
UACGUAAGGACCGAGCGUUGUCCGGAAUCAUUGGGCGUAAAGGGUACGUAGGCGGAUAAGCAAGUUAGAAGUGAAAUCCUAUAGCUCAACUCUAGUAAGCUUUUAAAACUGCUCAUCUUGAGGUAUGGAAGGGAAAGUGGAAUUCCUAGUGUAGCGGUGAAAUGCGCAGAUAUUAGGAGGAAUACCGGUGGCGAAGGCGACUUUCUGGACCUUUUCUGACGCUGAGGUACGAAAGCGUAGGUAGCAAACAGG